rnacentral:rRNA from 1 species
UACGGGAGGCAGCAGUAGGGAAUCUUCCGCAAUGGACGAAAGUCUGACGGAGCAACGCCGCGUGAGUGAUGAAGGUUUUCGGAUCGUAAAGCUCUGUUGCCAGGGAAGAACAGCCAGGCGAGUAACUGCGCUUGGAAUGACGGUACCUGAGAAGAAAGCCCCGGCUAACUACGUGCCAGCAGCCGCGGUAAUACGUAGGGGGCAAGCGUUGUCCGGAAUUAUUGGGCGUAAAGCGCGCGCAGGCGGCUUUGUAAGUUUGGUGUUUAAUCUCAGAGCUCAACUCUGAUUCGCAUCGAAAACUGCAAGGCUUGAGUACAGAAGAGGAAAGUGGAAUUCCACGUGUAGCGGUGAAAUGCGUAGAGAUGUGGAGGAACACCAGUGGCGAAGGCGACUUUCUGGGCUGUAACUGACGCUGAGGCGCGAAAGCGUGGGGAGCAAACAGGAUUAGAUACCCUGGUAG